AGAGUUUGAUCCUGGCUCAGGAUGAACGCUGGCGGCGUGCCUAAUACAUGCAAGUCGAACGAGAACUAUUGGAUCUUCGGAACUGAGAAAUUCUAGUGGCGAACGGGUGAGUAACGCGUUGGUGACCUGCCCCGAAGAGGGGGAUAACGGUUCGAAAGAACCGCUAAUACCCCAUAAGCUCACGAGAGUUAGAGGUCUUGUGAGGAAAGGAGUAAUCUGCUUCAGGAGGGGCCUGCGUCCCAUCAGCUAGUUGGUAGGGUAAAAGCCUACCAAGGCGAUGACGGGUAGGGGACCUGAGAGGGUGACCCCCCACAAUGGAACUGAAACACGGUCCAUACACCUACGGGUGGCAGCAGUAGGGAAUAUUGCUUAAUGGACGAAAGUCUGAAGCAGCAACGCCGCGUGUACGAUGAAGGCCUUCGGGUUGUAAAGUACUUUUUGUAGGGAUGAGGAAGGACAGUACCUGCAGAAUAAGCCUCGGCUAACUACGUGCCAGCAGCCGCGGUAAAACGUAGGAGGCGAGCGUUAUCCGGAUUUACUGGGCGUAGAGCGCGUGUAGGCGGAUUGGUAAGUUAGCUGUGAAAGCUCCUGGCUUAACUAGGAGAUGUCGGUUAAUACUGCCAGUCUAGAGUAUGUGAGAGGGAAGUGGAAUUCCGGGUGUAGUGGUGAAAUGCGUAGAUAUCCGGAGGAACACCAGAGGCGAAGGCGGCUUCCUGGCACAUUACUGACGCUCAGACGCGAAAGCUAGGGGAGCGAACGGGAUUAGAGACCCCGGUAGUCCUAGCUGUAAACGGUGUAGACUUGGCGUUGGUGGGGUCAAACCCAUCAGUGCCGGAGCUAACCCAUUAAGUCUACCGCCUGGGGACUACGGCCGCAAGGUUAAAACUCAAAGGAAUUGACGGGGACCCGCACAAGCAGCGGAGCGUGUGGUUUAAUUCGAUUUACACGAAGAACCUUACCAGGGUUUGACAUGCAAGUGGUAGUGAAGCGAAAGCAGAACGACCCUUCGGGGAGCUUGCACAGGUGCUGCAUGGCUGUCGUCAGCUCGUGUCGUGAGAUGUUCGGUUAAGUCCGCUAACGAGCGCAACCCUCGUCGUGUGUUACAAGUGUCACGCGAGACCGCCGGUCAUAAACCGGAGGAAGGUGGGGAUGACGUCAAGUCAGCAUGGCCUUUAUGUCCUGGGCUACACACACGCUACAAUGGCCAGUACAAUUGGUAGCGAAGUCGCGAGGCGGAGCCAAUCCGUAAAAGCUGGCCCCAGUUCAGAUUGUAGGCUGCAACCCGCCUGCAUGAAGAUGGAGUUGCUAGUAACCGCAGGUCAGCAAUACUGCGGUGAAUACGUUUCCGGGUCUUGUACACACCGCCCGUCACGUCAUGGGAGCUGGCAAUGCCUGAAGCCGGUAUUCUAACCCGCAAGGGAGGGAGCCGUCAAAGGCAGGGUCGGUAACUGGGAU
rnacentral:rRNA from 1 species